GGGGGGGGGGGGGAAGGGAAGGCGGGGGGGCGGGGUGGGAGGAAGAGAAGAAGGGGGAAAAAAAAAAGGAAAAAAAAAAAAAGAAGAAGGUGUCGGAAGCAUCGGCAGUAAGAAAACAUGUCAACAGAAUAAAAUAUUAACCAAUGACAGAGAAAAGUGCUCGAAAUCCCACCCCCGGCUCCUUUCCGCAUACCGGGUCAGCCCCGGCUGCGCCGCGGCCGGGGAGCGGCCGCCGCCGGUGCGGGGACGGCGCGGAGCCACCUCGGCGGAGCGGGGAGCGGCGCCCGGGUCCGCCCGGCCCGGAGCCUCGGGGGCGGGGGGAUGGCGGCGAAGGGCCCCCGCCGGUCUCUGCGGGGGCGGCGGGCACGGGAAAGGGGGGGGGGGGGCGGCCGAGGGAGCUCGGCGGCUGCCGACUUACGACAGAUCCUGGAGAGCGGAUCGAGGUGGGGCGCGCCCCGCCCGCCGCUCCGCGCACAGCCGCGCAAUGCCGCGCAGCACCGACGGGGCGGCCGCCGGGAGCGCGGCCCGGCGGAGAGCUGCGGGCGGAGGCGAGGCCCCGAGUGGCGACCUCCAGCGCGGCAGCUUGAAAAAAAGGUAUUUGAAACUCCAUUCAGAAGAGGAAACGUAACACUACGGCAUUUGAACACUGAAGACCAAUCCCCGUAUUAAAACCGUUUCAUCCUGCUGCAACCUGAAAGAUGUUGAGACACCGCAGAAGCACCUACAUUAAAUUUGCAAAGUAAAAACGACUGGCAAACGCUGCCUGAACAACUUAUCUGAAAUCAGAAUUCAGUGGCCUAUGUAAAAUAUUAGUCACUGUCAAACUACCUUACAAUAACUCUAAUGCUGAAUCCACGUAGAGUUCGUUAACGCCAUGCACUUGGAGAUGAAACCUGGCAAGUUGGAAAAAAGGUGGCAGGAUCUAGCAAGGGGAUGAGGAGGUACAGGAGGCAGGAGAUAACCAGGGGAAUGAAGACUGAGCCUUCUGAACAUCAGAGCCCCGCCGAGACCGCAAAUUUCAUUUCUAGAGCCUUAUUUCAAUGCGAAGAUGCCAAACAACUAACACUUAUGAAAUGGGGAGGACAUCUGAACUUACAUAAAUGUCUGGGUUUACUUCAGGCAUGGAGAGAUUGUUGAGAUACGGACAAAACAUUUUCAUGCAUGAACAUCUAAAGAAUUUUGUCUACCAAGAAAAAAAGAAAAAAAAAAAAAAAAAAAAAGGCAAGCAGCUUGUUUUUCCUUUAAAAAAGAGAACCCAAAAAGCUCCAUACGACUCGAGUCCGUGGAGUGGGAGACCCAAGACGUUGGCAUCUUGCCAGACUUGACUCUGAGCAUUUUAUGGAAGGUUAAAAGUGCACUAGAUAAAGGACUAGCAUUUAGAGGGAGAAUAUUCUUCAUGAUAGGCACUUUCACAAUGACUGCAGUGCUUUUAAAAAAUAAUCUCAAGUUUCCUAGAGCUGUAUAUUUUUGUAAAGAGGUUUAGGAUGUUUUCCUACAUAAAUGGCACUUCAGAAGGAUGAGCUGCCGAUUUGAGUCAGUAUGUGAAAUUUCAAAAGCUAGAACAGUCAAAUGCUUAUAGGAAACAAGUUCUGUAGCCCAUCCACGUCAUGGAAGCCUACGACUCCUUCUGCAAGAUUUACCGAAGAGUUUUUAAAAUGAAUAUGCAGAUACGGUUGUUUGGGUUUGAAGGAACUCCCUCCUACCCCAUCUUGAAAGUUUCAAUGUGUUGCUACUAUAAAUCCUAUAAUGUACCUUAUACGUAAUACACGCUUUCCUGUGCAAGCCUGUGUGUAUACAAGUUUUUAAAUAUAUUUAGGCAGAAUUAUCUUGUAUCUUCAGUUACGCAAGCAGCACAUCUGUGUAUAUCAGACCAAAAGUAUUUGCAGAGAAAACACUGUAUUAAAAUUCCUGGGUUUGGUCUCUCAUUCCCAGGGUUAUGGGAGUGCCUCGGAUUGCUCAACAGUGACCCCUCUGUCAGCCUCCGACUCCACAAAGGAAAAUACAAAUUCAGUGUGAUCUGCACAUUCACGACACCUACCAGCUUUGUGUCCUACACCCUCCGGACUCUUUGGAUCUUGCUCAGAAGUUUUGGAGGUGAUAUCCCUAUUCCUGAAACCACCACGCUUCUAUGCAGAGCAGGUCUGGACCCAACGCAUGGAUCUAAGCAUCCCCACUGGAGAUCUCGAGGUGGGGGGUCCUGUCUCAAAGGUGGCUGCAGCAAAGCCGCCGCACGUGAGCGUGACCCCCCGGAGUGGUCGGGGAGUCCUGGGGGUUCCUCCUCCUGCCUGGGCUCAGCUGAACAGUCCCAGCAAAAAAGCUGGAGAUGGAAAAGCUGCCUGAUGGUCAAACCCACAAAUCUGGCGAUUAUCUCAGGGUCUGGGCAGCCCCUUGCUGAGUGGGGGAUGUCAGACAUGCCUGGCCCUCCAAACCUCAGCAGUUUCCUUCCUGUCUAAGAUCUAAUUUUUUCCCCUCUUGUGAUGCUACCUCCGUUAUUGGGCCUCCUUAAUAACCCUCAGUUAGGAAGACAAGGCAACCCCGGAGGAGGACAACUUCUGUGCUCGGAGCGUGUCUCCGUGUGCAUCUCGCAUAUGUGCAUUAUGUGCUUCUGACACAAACGUACUGCUGAGUUCAUUUUAAAAGUAUAAUAUUACAAAGCAAAGUAAUUCUGGCACAACUUCUAGUACUUCUGACACGAAGUGGCCUUUCGGGCGAGUGAGGAAAGCUACUGAGAGGCUCUGGGCUGUCUCCCCGGUGCAGAUUGAUGCUGAGGAGGAAGCUAGACCGGACUGGAAUUUGGGUUCGAUUCAAAGGAAAAGUUAAAAGUUUGGGGGGAGCAGAUGCUCAGCUGCUCCAAAUCAGAGAAGUUUCGUUGAAGCUCACGAAAUGAUGUCACCGCGGACUCAGCCUUGUCUGCUCAACUAAAUGAUUCAAGGCUCUUGAGUCUGAAAAGCUCAGGUGGAGAUCUAAGGAGCAGAGGUCUCCUUUCAUUUCCCAGCGUUGGUUUUAGUGUCACUGAGAAACUCCAAACCCAUCCAAAUAAUCCUAGUUCCAAACGCAACUUAUUUGGUCUAUUUAGUCAAUUAUUUUAAAGAUUAUGUUGACAGUGCUGCUUCAAGCAGACCCAUUUUCUAAACACAGAGCUAAUUUUACAAAGCACUCAAAAGCUCGCAGUAGUACUCUUAAAAUCACGUCUCUACCUAGAUUGAGUAUUAACCGAGCCUGGAAAAACAACAGCCAACCUUGUGGGCUCGCUCUCUUGCAGGAUUGCUUGAGGCUCUUAAUACACUCUGUCUUAUUUAUAUAGCUCCAAAUUCUGAUGUUAGACAUAAAUAUGAAAGAGCCUUGAUAAAAAUGACAUCCAAAGCUUAAUUCGGCCCGUUGUUAAUGGAGCUGUUCAGCACAGCGGUUUGCAUUUGUUCUCGUGAAACCAGAAGGCAGCUGAAAAAAGUAAAUUUGACAUUUUCACUUUUUAGAAGUCUUAUUUUAAAAUUUGUUCCAAGUAUCAAUUCUAAUAUACUUUGCCUUUUUAGUUACACUCUUACAAGCACUGCCAAACGUGUGAAUGAGCUGCAGCCCGUGGACGAGCGCGUGGCAAAGGAUAACUCUUGUGUGAAAUCUAAAAGACCUAAUGGCAAACCAAGGCAUUCCUCUGGCCACAUCCCACAUAAAAGGCAAUUUAAAUCACCUCAAGCUGUGCAAAUUCUGCCUUUUACUUGGGCACCUAGCAGCAAAGUUAAUAUAACUACCCGCUCUUCACGUUGUGCUCUUCUGCGGACUCUUCACUCACAUUUUUGGUGGGUGACCAGCCACAUUUCCAAAGGAUAAACCAAAGAGACAACGCAAUCCUGGCGCAAUAUAAAGACUUUUUUUAAAGGGUGCGGACAAAAGUAGCCCUGCGUGAAGGCAAAAAAGCACGCCCAGAUUUCAGGUUAGGGAUCUGUCCCUGUACAAUUCAUCUGCCUGCUGCUGCCUCUGUGGCUGCAGCUGAGGAAGAAGGCUGCUAGGUUCAUUUGUCUUUUGAUUAACGCCUCCAAACGCCACUUCCACCUGACGACGUGGCCUCGGCGAUGGAGUGCCCAAUGGGAAUAGCUGCUCAGCGCGGCGUGGGGGAACAGACGGGAGAUGCCGUCCACGGGAAUGCUGUGCUCUGCCUUAGGAGAAAACCAGCAUAGCAACAUGUCCGAGCGUCCCUCCGCGGCACACUGCUUCUGGGUCCACGGUGCUAUCUGUAUCUGGUUAGGGAACCGCCACCGUUGCCAUUCCGCUCACCUCGACCACGCUUCUGCACGUGCUCGCCGUUCCCGGCCGCCCACGGCUCCUCGCUCCCAUGCCGUGCCACCGAGCCGGAGCGGAGGGAAUGGGGCAGGUCCUGGCUGCUGACCCUGCCAGCACCUUCCUGCCUGCGGCCUUCCCAGAAAAACAUCUUUGGAAACAGUUGGAGAAGUGAUACUGACCCUUUGUCUUUCACAACCCCAUCAGCUUUUGAUGUAAACACAGAGUUCAUGUGUUGGGCAGAUACUGAGAAAGUCACUGACCAAGGAAAUAACAAAUAAAUACAAUAAAUAAAUAAAUUUAAAAAGAUGGUAUUUUAGCUGUGGGGGUCUUCUUGGAAAAUGGGAUAAAAUGCUUCUUGUAGAAAAAGGCAGUAAACAGUUUAUGUCCUGGAACAGCCAUUUUACAGGGUGGGUGCCAGCAUUAGGCACUCCCAAAUUCUCUAUCUUUGCACAACAGCCAAUGGUCACUUAAAAAAUUCACCCCCUUACCACCUAUUUCUGUCUGCGUGGAAAACGAACUCCUUCCUCGCCGGGAUGCGGGACAGACUGCGGGGAAGCUGCUCCCUGCCUGUGACGGGAAAUGCCUUGGAGAAAUCUCGGAGGCGCUCGCUAAUGUCUGAGGGACACGGAGCAAAGACUAAAAGCCAGCUAGCAACAAAAGCACCGCCGCCUUGUCUGAAGCGACAGGAAUGAAACGCAGAAUAUAAACAACAGAAGUGGAGAAAAAGCUAUUUACAUUUUUUAGAAGUUCUACUCUUUUUCUAAAUUAGCUCAUGCAUUACCAAGUAUGUAAUUACCAGUGAUGUAAUUUAAAAGGGCACCAGCAGAAACAGCAAAAAGCAGCCGGUCCGUUAUCUUUUUGUCUUUACGUUUUGCCUCAACAUCUUUUUCAUUCUUUGUGAAGACACAACUUUUACUCAGCACCACUUUUACAGAAAGAAUAUGCCACUGGGGAUUUAAACCACUGGCAUGGACCUCCGCAGGGGUCCUUAACACCUUCCACUCCUGCUGGGGCAGCAGCAUAGAUGGUUUCUCCAUUUGCAAAACGCUUCCAACCGAUCUGUCAUUUUUCUUGCUCUUAGUUUUUCUGUCAGCCGAUUGUGCACACAAUAUUGAGCAAUAAUAAACAGAGGAGGAUGGAAACUGCUGCAGCUUAAGAAGUGAGCUCAGGGUAUGAUUCCUCCUCACCGGAUGCCUGGAAGAUGUCACUGAAAUUCUCUUUCCCUUAGUGCAACCCGUGUGGAGCCAAUAUGAACUCCCAGCAAAGUGCUUAAAAACCCAUUAUUUAUAAUAACUGUUAAAUGAUGAGACAUUGUUUACCCAGAUCGCAAGAUAAAUUCUCACUUACAGAAUGCUUGCCUGACCGUCCUGAACGUCAUCUGGUUUUUAUUUAAAUGCAAAAUGUAAUUAGGCUCCCAAUAACACAGCAGAAGAAUUCAAUAAGAUAGGGCUUUUCACUUACAGUUUAAUAUUAACAUUUUCCCAUAAAUGUUAAUGAAUAAAAGUCUACUGUUUUAUAUAUUAUCCAUGGUGGGGACACAGCAGGCUAGGAAUGGAAGGAAAGCUAAUCUUUUCAUACCACAAAUUACGAUAUAUACCUCAAGGAGAACUAACUGUUCCCAGCAUUGCCAGGGACCUGGCCGCAGCGCUGCUCCCUCCUGGGGAGGGAGGUCCCACCAGACCCGGUCCCACGGGAUGCGCUCCGGGGAGUCUCCCUCCCCAUCGAUCAGGGACAUCCUACCCCAGCCAAAAUCCCCUCUGGGUUUUUUUUUCUCCUUUUCCCUUGCCCUCCCUCCCUCCAUCCUGCUUCCUGCCUGCCCAUCUCCACUAGACACACCACAAGCAUCAGAUAGCGAACAACAUCACCGUUAAGCAAGGAUACGGCCCCGAGCCCUGAUAUUCUUAGACUCCUCCGCGGAUAGCCGGGCAGAUUAUCAGAAAAAUCAGGUUACUAUUUGUCUGAUAUUCUGUUAGAGAAAUGCACAGGGGUGAUGAGAGACGACGGCAGUACUACAGUACGAUGAUGGGAAAUGAUACGGCAUCCGAAGGGGUGGGAGAAGGCGCUGGGAGCUGGUGGAGGUGGCACUUUGGGAGUCCAUCGAAGGGCUCGUGCCUCCUGACGCUGAAGCGUGAGGAGCAGAUCCCGCGGUGGAAGAGGGGCCUCUGUGGCUGAGGGGCUGAAAGCUGCAGGGCCAGAGAGUUGGCUC